UCUAUUCGGGUAGGAGGUUG
rnacentral:siRNA from 1 species